rfam:TPA: Bos taurus chromosome 2, whole genome shotgun sequence.
UCCCUGGAGGUCCAGUGGUUAGGACUCGACACUUUCAAUGCCAUAGCCCUGGGUUUGACUCCUGGUCGGGGAG